GCCACCUUCGUAUUUUCAUUUUCUUUUACCAUUUUUUUUUAAAUCAAAAGCUAAGUAAAUGUCCAAAAACCCAUUGUCAACAACGAAAACUACCAACCCAACCUGAAGUAUCCGAUUAUCCGCUCCAAAUUUGAUGAUCCGAACUGAAUCCACACAAACUCACAAAAUACUCUUAUUUAUUUCUUCUUCGUUUCUUCGUCAAUUUUCUUCAAUCGUUUAUUCUUCUUUCCUUUUCUCUUCUUCUUAAGCUCCAAAAUCCCCAUAUCAUGAACUUCAAUCCAAGAACUACUUGAGUUGAGAGUCGAAAUCAGAGUUUCGGAGAUCUCGAUUGAGAUUCUUCAAUUCCAAAAGGCUAACAUGCACAAAAAGGAUCUUCCAUCUGAUGUGUUGCUUCAGAAGAUAUCGGAAUCUGAAGCGAAUAAAUUGGUGGAUGAGGUUGUGAAAUCUCGGAAGCAAGAACUGAUUCGGGGAACUCUGAGAUCGAAGAUUGGAUCUGCGGUUUUCAUUGCUGAGGAAAGUAGACUGGGGAUUGAUCGUGUUUGGUAAAGGAGUUGCGUAUUACUUUGAUUCCAGAUGUAUAUUCGUUGAUGGUUUCGGCGGCUCCAUAUACUUAUGACGUCGCUCCGAUUGAGUCAUAAGAAUGCUGGAUUGAAUCGGCUUGAUGAAGGAACCAAAAUUUGUGAUGAGAUUGGUGUUUGUCUUCACUUAUAUGAUAUUAGUCUGAUUGGAAGAGAUCGAAAAUGGCCAAAUGCAUCAUUGUUUAGAAUGUUUAUAGGUUAAAUCUUGUGUUUGAACGAAUUGUUUGGUUUUUGUGUAUCAGGUUACUCCAAGAAAGGUGUUGGAAUUUAAAAAUCCUAAAGAAGCCAUAUGUGAAGUUGCUGAGAAGCUUGUUGUUGGAAGCCAUGGUAAAGGAGCAUUACAAAGAUAUGGAUUUUCUACAUCAUUUGGUUCAAUAAAAUGAAGAACUAAAAAGCUUUCUAAAGAGUAUAAUAGUGGUUUGAAUGAUGAUUUGGUGUUGGGAGAUCCUACUGUGCCAAGGUUUGUGUUGUGGAAUGGGAAACUGAUAUGUUGCCAUCUCUUUUGUUUUCGAUUAAGCUUUUCAUUUGUUGUUUAUUUUCACACAACUACGGAUGUAAUCUAUUUCUCACAAAGCAGAUGGAUACUUAUCAUAUUGUAUGCAA